rnacentral:rRNA from 1 species
GAUGAACGCUGGCGGCGUGCUUAACACAUGCAAGUCGAACGGAAAGGCCCUGCUUUUGUGGGGUGCUCGAGUGGCGAACGGGUGAGUAACACGUGAGUAACCUGCCCUUGACUUUGGGAUAACUUCAGGAAACUGGGGCUAAUACCGGAUAGGAGCUCCUGCUGCAUGGUGGGGGUUGGAAAGUUUCGGCGGGUGGGGAUGGGCUCGCGGCUUAUCAGCUUGUUGGUGGGGUAGUGGCUUACCAAGGCUUUGACGGGUAGCCGGCCUGAGAGGGUGACCGGCCACAUUGGGACUGAGAGACGGCCCAGAGUCCAACGGGAGGCAGCAGUGGGGAAUAUUGCACAAUGGGCGGAAGCCUGAUGCAGCAACGCCGCGUGCGGGAUGACGGCCUUCGGGUUGUAAACCGCUUUCUCCUGUGACGAAGCGUGAGUGACGGUAAUGGGUAAAGAAGCACCGGCUAACUACGUG